GCCUGGGCAACAUGGUGAAACCCUGUUACUACUAAAAGUAGAAAAAAUUAUCUGGAUGUGGUUGCAUAUGCCUGUAUUCCCAGCUACUUGGGAGGCCAAGGCAUGAGAAUCGCUUGAACCUGAGAGGCUGAGGUGGCAGCUGCCUGAGAUCACACCACUGUACUCCACCCUGGGUAGCAGAGUGAGACUCUGUCAAAAAAAAAAAAAAAAGAAAAGAAAAGAAAAGAAAAAAAAACCCAACAACAGUUUCAAGAAUUUAAUCUGUGAAAAACGUGAUAUAGAAUAUGAUAGAACUAGGAUAUUAUUAAAGUCCUUCUAAAGAACUGGAACAAGAUUGAAAUACAGAGAAGACUUAGAAGAUUGCUCAGUAAAACUGAAGGUCUAAUGUGAUGGUUAAUUUUAUGUGUCAACUUGGCUGUUUUGCAGUGGACCAGAUAUUUGGUCAAACAUUAUUCUGGGUAUUUAUGUAAGGGUGUCUUAUUGGAUGUGAUUAACAUUUAAGUUGGUGGACUUUCAGUGAAUUAAAUUGUCUUGCAUAAUGUAGGUGGUCCUCAUCCAACCAGCUGAAGGCUUGAAUAGGGAAAAGGUUGACCUUCCCUGGGCAAGAAAGAAUUCUGCCAGCAGACAGGCUCCAGAGUUGAACUGCAACUUUGACUCUUCCCUGGGUCUCCAGGUUGAUGGCCCAUCCUGAAGAUUGUUGACUUGCUAGCUCCUUAGUCACAUGAGGCAUUUACUUAAAACAAAUCUCUCUAUACAUACACAUUCUUUUGGUUCUGUUUCUCUGGAGAUCCUUGAUCAAGACAUACAGUUUAUGUAGACACUUCAUUUGUGUGGUCACCUGAAUUUUGUGCAGCAGAGAACAGGAAGAUCUGCAGUUAGACUGAUUGGGGUUGGGACAUGAGAAUGAGGAUGUGUGGGAUGGAAAGAUGAGGAGAUAUAUGAAGGACAUGGUUAAAAUGAGAGUGAAGUGCCUUUUAUCACACCUUUUUGUUUAGGUCCAUGCUGAGCCAAGAAUUUCCAUGAACAGAAAAAGCUUCCCGUUGCCUGAAGGAAGGGUGAAGAACAUCUUCUGUCUAUCUUGGUUUUUGCAUAACUUGCUGUCCUCCUGACCAGAGACUUGAUGCUCACUUUAAUAGCUUUGGGCCCGAGGAAACAUUUAUUUUGUUUCUUACUGUAAGUUUUACUCAGGAUAGUAGAGAGUAGGGUAUUCUCCCCCAUGACCUUGGAGUCCUACUCCAUGGAAGUUAUUCAUAUUGCUUGAUCACUGUGCUAAUAUAAGACAAGAGUCUUAGCUUCAAGGGAAAACUGGACAUUGAAGAGAUCUGCCUGGAAAACCUAGGGUUGUUUAUACUGUAGCUUCUCAGAAUGGAGCAGCAGAGCCUCUAACAAACUCCCACGCUGUAACUGAUGUUUACAUAAAGACUGAUGAAGAACAGGAGAUGCUAUUCAAGAUUCUUAUAAAAACAGAACCCAUUGGCCCAGCACGGUGGCUCAUGCCUGUAAUCCCAGCACUUUGGGAGGCCAAGGUGGGGAGAUCAUUCAAGGUUAGGAGUUCGAGACCAGCCUGGCCAACAUGGUGCAACUACAUCUCUAAUAAAAAUACAAAAAUUAGCUGGGUGCAGUGGCACUUGCCAGUAAUCCUAGCUACUUGGGAGGGUGAGGCAGAAGAAUCACUUGAACCUGGGAGGCGGAGGUUGCGGUGAGCCAAGAUCGUGCUACUGCACUCCAGACUGGGUGACAGAGGAAGACUCCAUCUCAAACAAAACAAAACAAAACACCCAAAAAACAAAAAGCAGAACACAUCAAAAAGAAAGGGCAGAGACCAACCGACUAAUCAAUUUUGGCUGUGAGUAAAGCAGUUAAAUAGAGGAGCAUCACAGUGACUUUUAGGCAACCAGGUGGGACCUGGAAAAUCCUUCCCUUUCACCCUACACACCAACCUGACCUAAGUUCACAGACUUUGUAGAGUGACCUUAACUUCCCAAAAGAUGUACUUGUAUAGAGCAUCUGAGGUCUCCCCACUCCCCAUUCUGGUUCCUGCUGUCGGAGACCCUCACCUCUUGGGUGGUGCAUGAGAAUGCUCGCCUUCCUCUAUCAUGCUCUCUUGCUGGCCCUCCACUUCCAGGACCAGGUGUGACAGCAAAAGUGGAAGAGAGUCCUGCUAAGAAAGGUUGCUGAGGCAGAGAACCAGCCCCUACCACCUAUCUCCCAGUAAAGUGGAGAGCUCUCACCAAGGACCAUCAGAUGAGGAAAGGCAGCACCAGCCUGCACUAGCCUGGAAGCUCAGCGACAGCAGAGUCUGUAGAGGCGGCCACUGAUUUCACACACCCCGGAGAGGGACUCACGGGUAGCACAACGGCCGGUUCGGCAAUAGCAGGUGGCUCUUGCCUGAGAACCUGUGGAAAGAAGAGAGGGUCAGGCACAGCGAGGGAGGUGGGAAAAAGGACAAGCACAGCCAGACUAACUGAGAUAGUCUAAAUAAGAGACACUGUAUCAGUCAUGUUAGGAUGGAGAAAAUUCAUGUCUUUGUCGUAAGUGACAAGAAAUCUUACUAGCUAUGUGUUAG
rnacentral:lncRNA from 10 species